UACCUGAUAACGAAGAGCACAUGAGCAGACCGCGUCAUAUCAGGCUGCUGCACGUCCCGAUUCACACACUCCAGUAGUAGGCGGUAAUGCUCUUCCGGUAGUAGCUUGCCAACCACCGUAAAACAGAAGGAGAGGAAGAAGAAGAAGAAGAACAGUAAACAACAACCGAAAUCAUCUCCACGCUACAUUUUAAAGAUGGCUUCAAAUGAGCGUGGUGCGACCUGGAAUGACGCCGAGACUGCGGCUGUUAUUACAGUUUGGGCGGAGGACGCUAUCCAGGCGAUGUUGGAGGGCGAUAAGCACAAUCACAAAGUUUUCCAAAAAAUUUCGGACGAAAUGAAGGUGAGGGGAUACGACCGAGACCCGAAACAGUGUCGGGAGAAGAUAAAAAAAACUCAGGAUACAGUACAAAAAGGUUAUUGAUCAUAACAACAAGUCAGGGAGAGGAAGAAAAUCGUGGAGAUUCUAUGAUGACAUGGAUGAAGUGUUGGGCCACCGUGCACCGUCGAGGCCUCCAGUGCUUUUAGAGAGCUCUACGCUGAAUACCACAGCAACGAGUUGAUUGUGAUGAUCAAAAAUCACCAAACUCUGUACCUUUUUAUUUUUUUCAUUAAUUUCUUUCAUUUUCAUUGUUAGAGGACGAUGAUGCAACAUCUGACCACGAGGAGCAGCCUGAGAACCUGAGCAGCACACAGGAUGCUAAUUUUAUUUCUGAGGAGCCAGGAGGUAGUCGUGUUGCUGAAUUUACUGUUGAGACUCCUGCUGCUGAGGCUCAUAAAGUUAAAACCAGGAGGAAGAGCAAAUUAGUAAAAGCCCUAGAUGGUACUAUAGAGGCUUUCGUAAAUGCUCAGAGACAUUCUGAUGAACGCUGGUUGGCAGCAUUUAAAGAACAACAGGAGUCAGUCCAACGCCACCAACAACAGCAGCAAGAACAGCACCUAAACCUGAUACGUGAAGUAGAAAUAAAUCGACUUCAAGCUGAAGAGAGAUUGAGAAAACAGGAACAGGAACACGAGAUACGACUGAUGCAGAUGAUGGUCCAGCGGCUGCCACAGCAACCAGCACAACUACAAGCCCUGAACCCUCCAUCGCCUUCUACUUCUUUCCCUAACUUUUCAAACUAUGGACCAUAUCAGUAAUUGUGCAAUAUAUAACUCAAGUUUUAGAAAUUUACAAUACAUAUCAUUCUGAAUUCAAAAAUUGUUUCUGUUUUCUUUAUUAC